rnacentral:lncRNA from 1 species
CUGCACACCCGCGGCAGGGGGAGAGCCGGCGUGCCGUCCUCGGAUCCCCAGUCCUCAUAGCGGCGACCGCCGGCAAAAGGCUGGGAACGUGGGAAAGUGAGCGGGUGUGCGCAGCGAAACAGGUUACAGGAGGGUGUAGCUGCAGCCUGUGUGAAUUUUCUGAAGUCUGAGAAAAUAGUCCUGUUGCAACCUACUUCCAAGCAUGACUGUCAUCCUGCCUAGGAAUGGGAAGGCAGUUUCAGGCAAUGAAAGCAGUGUGAGAAAAGAGAUGGGACAAGACUGCAUUGCCCCUUCGGAAGAUUGCAAGGAUGAUUGAAAGUGCUGUUGAACUGGGAAGAGCCAGAAACUGAACUGCUCAUUGUAUGCAGCUGGAAGCCAUGGUGAACAUUCUGCAAAGGCCUUCUACUGGGAGAUGACUCCGGUCACUGUUCCUUCCAUAGCAGCUGGUCCCUGUAAGACACUGAACCCUCAACACCCCUUACAAAUGUGGCUGAGGACCUGAAAGAAAUGCUGGUGCACCUGAUAUACUGUUCCAGGAGUCUUGUGAGAUUAACAGCUUGUAAAUGAUGGCAUACCUGGAAUAAGUUCCCUGUUGGCACUCCUGGGCAAUAUAUAAGAAGAAAAUGUGCAUCUUAGUACAGGCACACUUAAACCACAUGAAGGAGACCUGUAUUUUUGGAAUGACAGGUCCUCCUCCAUGUCUGGAGCAUGACCUAGUUGGUGACUAUCUAUUGUUUAUAGGCAAUGAUUCCUCAGAAACAAAUCAACUAAAUGAACAAACUGGAUGAUAAAGUAGAACGGAGAACUGCAUUGUGCUCCUCAGAGUCAUAAAAAUUCAUCCCUUUUACAACUGCUGAGUGCUUUGCCAAUAUCAUGCCAAGGUGAGAGCAGCUGGGGGAAGGGAAGGAUAUUGAAAAGGAAAAUAAAUAGGCCAGGUAAACAGUGCUGCUGCUGCUGCAGCAGCCGUGGUUGCCACGGCAACCGGGGUGAAGAGGAGGCGGAGGAGGAGGAGGAGGAGGAGGGGGGAGGUGGAUUGAUCGAUAGUCCUGUGCUGGCUCAUCUGGCUUCCAUCCACGUGCUGCUACAGAGGGAGAGAAAAUCAAAGAGCCACACGCAGGAUGGCCAGGUCUCCAAUUCAAUACAUGGCAGCAGCUUGAUCAAUAACUUGUUGGAAGCUGCUUUUCCACGCGCACAAAUAUGGAGCUGCUGUGAAAGCAUCUGA